rnacentral:rRNA from 1 species
AUUGAACGCUGGCGGCAGGCCUAACACAUGCAAGUCGAGCGGAGCGGCGGACGGGCGAGUAAUGCCUAGGAAUCUGCCUGGUAGUUGGGGAUAACGUCCGGAUACGGGCGGUAACUCCUCAUAUUAUCAGAUGAGCCAAGGUCGGAUUAACUAGUUGGUGGGGUAAAGGCGUACCAAGGUGACGUUCCGUAACUGGUCUGAGAGGAUGAUCAGUCACACUGGAACUGAGACACGGUCCAGACUCCUACGGGAGGCAGCAGUGGGGAAUAUUGGACAAUGGGCGAAAGCCUGAUCCAGCCAUGACGCGUGUGUGAAGAAGGUCUUCGGAUUGUAAAGCACUUUAAGUUGGGAGGCGUUACCAACAGAAGAAGCACCGGCUAACUUCGUGCCAGCAGCCGCGGUAAUUC